UUUCCACCUUCCAGUACUUACUGCUCCUUCUCAGCUUUCGUCCAUACAUGAGGUGUGAACUUCAGUGUUUGAUCUGUAAAGCCACACAUCUGCUCUGCCACAUGGAUGUCAUGUGUCUCUGUGGACAGGCUGACCCUCCUAAAGCUAAUGCCAUGGCACAGAGACCAUUCCAAGUGCUGCUUCUUUCUUUAGGUGGUUCUUGGCCCGCGUUAACAACUCUAGGUGUGAAGCACAGAAAGGGCUGGAGCAAAGAUACUUUUGCCACCUCUGUUUUCUGGUUGGGGGCAGUUCAGUUCCUUUCUUUGGGCUCCUCUCAUUUCCACUGUCUCUCAGAAGUGUCCAGGAACAGCAGCAAUUUAUUUUCCCUUCCAAGCCAGGCAGCAGCACCGGGGCUGGAAGCCCAUGGCUGGGAGGAAGGAGUGGUUGUCGCAGUCUGCCCAUCCCCAUCGCCUCAGGGCCCACAUGUAGGAGUGCAGCCUCUCUGCAGCGGCUGUGGCCCCACGGAGCAGUGCCUCUCACAGUUCCCAACACAACCAUGAGCAGUCUCCUGAAUGGAGCGUUCUAACUUCAGGUGAAGAAAAGCAACUGAAGCAGAUGGGCUUGUAAACAGCAGAGGCUUGGCUCUGCCACAGAGCUCCUUGCAGAGUGGAAGGGAGCAGAGUGGUUAGAAAACUGCUGCAGAUUGUGGGGAGUGCAGGGGUCACGGAGGAGAGAGACUUAGGAAAGAUGGUUCCACACUGGGAUUUCAGAGAGCAGGGUACUGGUGGAGAAUGGAAUGAAGGAAAGCAGCUGAAGGAAGAAAAGCUGUUCCUGGGUAGGUGAGCAGGACACCUACAAGGCUGUGUUUCGGCUCCCUACACUCCCAGAAAGUGCUGGUGUGGUUCCAGCUGCGCAUUGGAGCUGCCCAAGUUAGGAUCCGUUCUGCAGCAGCUGCUCCUGGCAGCAGUACCAAGCUCUGUGGAUCUGUCAUGCUUUCACCUUUGAGUCUGCUCUCUGGAAUAAGUAUUUGCUUCUGCCAAACCCCAAAAGCUGCAUUUCAUUAAAAACCCUGAUUAUUCAGGAAGGGUGAAGUUUGAUUCACAAGGAUAACGCUCUUUGAAGGAGUUCUGGGUCAUCGCUCUAAGCUGUUUGAGUUCUACCUCUUCCUGUUAAGAAGGGCUUCAGCUAUCUCAGCUCUGCGCCUGCAGCAUCCCUCCAUUUCAUAGAUUAUGUUGUGGAAAUAAACACACUUGGCAAGACUGGUGAGCAGGGAAUAAGGAGAGCAUGAUGCUGGUGCCCUGUUGUGGAAGACAGCACCUGGGGGGAUGUCUUCCCAUGGAGACCUUUCCUGCUGAGCUCCUGACAGACUGGCUGGUGCUUCUCCCUAAAAUACUUGGAUCAGCAUGAGCUGGUGUGCUGGAGGAGGGCAGUAGCUGUUCCACCGGCCUGCCCAGCUGUGCUGGUAGAUAGAUACCCUGUGCAUGACUGCAAACCACCGUGCGCAGCUCAGGCCUCAAAGUAAAAUCACAUCUUUUUACCUUGCCUAGAAAAGGUCAGAUGAUUCCUAGAACAUUGCCCUUGGCUUCAAUGGGAAUAUACCAAUGGCUGGGACACCCUUCCGACUAUUCUGUAGGCCUUGAUGGAAAAGAUACAUGAUCCACUUGGGCUCUGCAGCAAUAUUUCUCCAUGGGGGGCCAGCUUUUCCCUAUUACUGUAUAAUGAAUCGCUGACUACAGAAGCCUAAAUAAGAAAGUGUGUGGAGUCAAAGAGGAAGAUGCUUGCCCUCUGUGUGUUGUCUCAGCAUACACAUCUUCAGAGACUCAUUACACACCAGCCUGCCUGGUGCAGUUGAUGGGCUGUUCAGUGUAUUGUGCUUACUGAGCGUUUGCUUCAUGGCAGAGGCUCUACCCUUUGGUGUCCCCAUGGCACACGCAGCAGUUGUAUUUAGCAACACUGUUAAAGACAGUUUCUUUGGCAUUUGUGAUGCCCCAGGAAGCACCCCACGUUCAAGGGUAGCUUUGAAACUCCUCCUGAUGCUCCUGUGAGGCCACUUACGCUGCUGUUCCCGGGAAUAAAGGGAACUUGCAUCACUUUCCCUCAUCUCCCCAUACCCAGUGAUCUGUGAGUUCACUCUGAGCAACUGUCAUUGCCCCUCUGGAGUCUGGAGCACCAGAGGGUUUCAAACUGCCCUGCAAAUAUGGCAACCCCGCUGACAUGAAUAGAGCUGGUCAAUUUGGGGUGUAAAUGGGAGUCUUAUUAUGGAACUCACUUCCUAACCAUCAUAGCAGUGAGGAUGGCAAGGUGCCACUUCAGGCUCCUCUGGAACGGGACAGGGAGAGCAAGACUACACCCAGCUAAGACUGGAAGUAAAGACUAAUACUACCUCUAAUUGAAACCAGACAAAACCAGCCUACAAGUGCUUUCAAAAAGUGGAAAGCAAAUGCUUUCUGUGUAGGCAUUAAUCUUCAUGCCUGACUAGGGUCGUAAGCAGUAGUGAGAGUGCAUGCAGAGAAAUCAGCUCACUCAGCACUGGUCUGUAAAAGUCUAUGUUCAGUUUGGCCCUUAAUUCUGUUUAUCUGGGGCUAUUAAUAAGCUCCUUUCAGUUUCCCCAUGAAGAUCUAUAUGUCAGGUCUACUCUUGCACGUAAAGAUCUGUGCUUGGGCAGCUGAAUUGGGUAGACAGUUCACUAGUCAAUGGUAUCUUGACUUUGCAUCCUUUUCUGCUGGGGCAGGAAUGCUGGGGAUGACUUCAGUCUUAUUCUAAUCUGCUUGUACACAGCGCUUUUCUAAUUUCAUGCCUAGGUAUGAUGGCAUUUCCAUUACAAAAGAGUUUUGUUGCUGGAGCUCUGCUGGUCUGGGUCUUUCCAAAGCUGAUGAGAGCUUCUGGUCAUGUGCUUCUGCUCUCUUCCCUCAGAACAAAACAUCAUCUACACAGAUCCUGGGCUAUCAAAGGCCAUGAAACAGUUCAAGUGCCAAACACAACCCAAACGGCAGCCUGAGAAAAUGAUGUCUCCCAUAGGGGCUGUUGAAAACGCACAAACGUAUGGUCUGUUUUCCUGCCGUGCCUGUCGGAGCCCUGCUGAUGCCUCCAGCAGAGAGAACUGUUUGGCAGAGGCCACUUCCCCCCAAACUUUACUCUUUGCAGGAAACAGAAAAUGUUCUUUCCCUACGUAUUUAUUUGUGCUUGACUCUGAUCACAAAGGGCCGCAUUUUUCCCCUCUCUCUGGUGACCCAUGGAUGUCCACGUGCUCUCAGUUCUGCAGUUCCUCUUAUCUUUCCCAGAGCUCGGAGCCUUUUCACCCGUUCCUCUGUGCCUGCCAUACUCCAUGCAGAAAUUCCAUCAGGAGGUGAGCUUUCGGAUGUGUGAGCUCCAUUCUGGUUUGUGUAGCACCCUGUGCAGGCUUCCCCGUGUUGUUAAAUCCUCAUUCUCCUGUUCAGGUACCCUGGUGAAGGUGUUCUCCUGUGAACAAGGCUUUUCAACACCAGCAGCUAUGCUGCUAAUAUUUCAGACCAUUUUGCUGUCUGUUGUGUCCCCAAACACUUAACAGUGGAUUCCUUUGCUCAGAGAGAAGAUCCCCACUGCAACUUAGAGCAGUUUUACUCACUGCCCAAUUGCAAGAGUCUGAUUGUACCUCUUAGGGGGGUUUAACUGAGUUCCCAGCACUGCACAACUUGGUGUACAAGUUCUAAUGAGUUAAUGUCUAUUUGUCUUCCAGGCUGUGGUUUGCUCACGUGCUGCUGCAGUGUCACCCACCCUCCCCAGGUGCAGGAAGUGCCCGGAAGGGGGAUUUUGUCCAUGCUGAUGGCUGCGUUGGCAUUCCCGU